GUGAGGAAUAUUGCACAAUGGAGGAAACUCUGAUGCAGCAACGCCGCGUGGAGGAUGACGCAUUUCGGUGUGUAAACUCCUUUUAAGAGGGAAGAUUAUGACGGUACCUCUUGAAUAAGCACCGGCUAACUCCGUGCCAGCAGCCGCGGUAAUACGGAGGGUGCAAGCGUUACUCGGAAUCACUGGGCGUAAAGGGUGCGUAGGCUGACUUUUAAGUCAGGCGUGAAAUCCAAUGGCUUAACCAUUGAACUGCGCUUGAAACUGGGAGUCUAGAGUUCAGAAGGGGCAGAUGGAAUUAGUGGUGUAGGGGUAAAAUCCGUAGAUAUCACUAGGAAUAUCAAAAGCGAAGGCGAUCUGCUGGGAUGAUACUGACGCUGAGGCACGAAAGCGUGGGGAGCAAACAGGAUUAGAUACCCCAGUAGUCC
rnacentral:rRNA from 1 species